rnacentral:rRNA from 1 species
GACUGUCUAAUUAAAACAAAGCAUUGCGAUGGCCGCUGGUCGGUGUUGACGCAAUGUGAUUUCUGCCCAGUGCUCUGAAUGUCAACGUGAAGAGAUUCAUCAAAGCGCGGGUAAACGGCGGGAGUAACUAUGACUCUCUUGUCUCCUAUGGCAUGCACGCCUUGGAUUCGGGGUGAGAGCAGAUAGUUGCUUGCUAAGCGCAAAGGCUAAC